rnacentral:rRNA from 1 species
GACGAACGCUGGCGGCGUGCUUAACACAUGCAAGUCGAACGAUGAAGCUAGAGCUUGCUCUGGUGAAUUAGUGGCGAACGGGUGAGUAACACGUGAGUAACCUGCCCCGAACUCUGGGAUAACUGCUGGAAACGGUAGCUAAUGCUGGAUACGACCUACGAAGGCAUCUUCUGUAGGUGGAAAGAAUUUCGGUUCGGGACGGACUCGCGGCCUAUCAGCUUGUUGGUGAGGUAAUGGCUCACCAAGGCGACGACGGGUAGCCGGCCUGAGAGGGUGACCGGCCACACUGGGACUGAGACACGGCCCAGACUCCUACGGGAGGCAGCAGUGGGGAAUAUUGCACAAUGGGCGCAAGCCUGAUGCAGCAACGCCGCGUGAGGGAUGACGGCCUUCGGGUUGUAAACCUCUUUUAGUAGGGAAGAAGCGAAAGUGACGGUACCUGCAGAAAAAGCACCGGCUAACUACGUGCCAGCAGCCGCCGUAA